ACGGGUGAGUAAUAUAUCGGAACGUGCCCAAUCGUGGGGGAUAACGUAUAGAAAUUUACGCUAAUACCGCAUACGAUCUAAGGAUGAAAGCGGGGGAUCGCAAGACCUCGCGCGAUUGGAGCGGCUGAUAUCAGAUUAGGUUGUUGGUGAGGUAAAAGCUCACCAAGCCGACGAUCUGUAGCUGGUUUGAGAGAACGACCAGCCACACUGGGACUGAGACACGGCCCAGACUCCUACGGGAGGCAGCAGUGGGGAAUUUUGGAUAAUGGGCGAAAGCCUGAUCCAGCAAUGCCGCGUGCAGGAAGAAGGCCUUCGGGUUGUAAACUGCUUUUGUACGGAACGAAACGGCUCUUUCUAAUAAAGAGGGCUAAUGACGGUACCGUAAGAAUAAGCACCGGCUAACUACGUGCCAGCAGCCGCGGUAAUACGUAGGGUGCGAGCGUUAAUCGGAAUUACUGGGCGUAAAGCGUGCGCAGGCGGUUAUGUAAGACAGUUGUGAAAUCCCCGGGCUCAACCUGGGAAUUGCAUCUGUGACUGCAUAGCUAGAGUACGGUAGAGGGGGAUGGAAUUCCGCGUGUAGCAGUGAA
rnacentral:rRNA from 1 species